rnacentral:rRNA from 1 species
AUGUGCGAGCCAUGCCACCCGUCGCUGCCGCAGGUCGGCAACCUCUUCUCACCAAGCGCGUCGCCCACAUUCCACGGCGUCCACAACAACGAUCCUGUUUGCACCACACCCUACAGGAAGACGGCUCACGGCUGCUCCUUCCACUUCUCUUCGGUCACCGGGUACCUCUCGCGCGACACCUUCCACCUCCGCACCGGCCGAUCGGGCGCGAUCAGGGAGUCUAUUCCUCGUGUUGUGUUUGGUUGCGCACACUCGUCCACUGGGUUCCACAAUGACAACACCCUUGAUGGGGUGCUCUCCUUGAGCCACCUGCCACUCUCGCUCCUGACACAACUUGGUGGGCAUGCCAGUGGGAGGUUCUCCUACUGCCUCCCCCUGCCCACCGUGCACAAUCCCCAUGGCUCCCUCUUUCUCGGCGCCAACGUCCCAAGCCCUCCGCCGCAUGCCCACACGACCAACCUCGUCAUACGUCCCGGCGUCUCGGGCUACCACCUCAACCUCGUCGGCAUCACCCUAGGGUACAAGCGUCUCAAGAUCGACAAGCGCGUCUUCGACGGCCACAGUUGCAGCAUCAACCCAGCGGAGACCAUCACACAUUUCGCGGAGCCGAUAUACCUUGUCGUGGAAAAAGCAUUGGUGGCGCGCAUGAAGGAGCUAGGGUCGGACCCGGUGAAGGGGCCACCGGGCGGCCCGCUUUGGUUUGACCGGAUGUACAAAUCGGUGAAGGAGCAGCUCCCCAACAUGGCGUUUCACUUUGAGGGCGGCGCCGAGCUGUGGUUCACAUCGGAUCGGCUGUUUGAGGUGCACGGCAUGAACGCAAGGUUCAUGGUCGCCGGCCGUGGGUACCGCCGGACGGUGAUUGGCGCCGCACAGCAGGUGAAUACGCGGUUCACGUUCGACGUCCCCCGGGGGAAGCUGUCCUUCGUGUCGGAGGUGUGCGACUGA